UAAGACGAAGGAUGCAAGCGUUAUCCGGAUUCAUUGGGUUUAAAGGGAGCGUAGGUGGUCUUAUAAGUCAGUGGUGAAAUCCUGUCGCUUAACGAUAGAAUUGCCAUUGAUACUGUAGGACUUGAGUACAGUUGCCGUUGGCGGAAUAUGACAUGUAGUGGUGAAAUACAUAGAUAUGUCAUAGAACACCGAUUGCGAAGGCAGCUGACGAAACUGUAACUGACACUGAGGCUCGAAAGUGUGGGGAUCAAACAGGAUUAGAUACCCUGGUAGUCCACACUGUAAACGAUGAUUACUCGCUGCUGGAGGGCAACCUUCAGUGGCUUAGCAAAAGCGAUAAGUAAUCCACCUGGGGAGUACGCCGGCAACGGUG
rnacentral:rRNA from 1 species